rnacentral:rRNA from 1 species
AGUCCGACGGGUGCGCAAGUCGCCGGGACUUUGAAUCCCACGGCGGCGAAGUGAAGGCGAAGGGUUCUCCUAAGCCGUUCUCGAGGGAAGAUGGCGUUGUAGUCCUAAUGGGCGCGCGUCCGCACUCCCGGGGCGCCUCGUGCUGCGGUCUUCGGACGGCAAGGACGGGGCGCGCCUCUAGCGCAUUCGUCGGGACCCGAAAGAUGGUGAACUAUGCCUGGCCAGGAUGAAGCCAGGGGAAACCCUGGUGGAGGUCCGAAGCGGUUCUGACGUGCAAAUCGAUCGCGCGAGCUGGGUAUAGGGGCGAAAGACUAAUCGAACCAUCUAGUAGCUGGUUCCCUCCGAAGUUUCCCUCAGGAUAGCUGGCGCUUCUGACCGCGGUCCGCGGCGCCGGACCGCGACAAAUGAGUCUCAUGCGGUAAAGCGAAUGAUUAGAGGCGUUGGGGCCGAAACGGCCUCAACCUAUUCUCAAACUUUAAAUGUGUGCGAACGCCGGCCUGCCCGAUACACGAGGCCGAGCGCUCGGAUCAGAGCGCCUAGUGGGUCAAUUUUGGUAAGCAGAACUGACGCUGUGGGAUGAACCAAACGCCCGGUUAAGGCGUCCAAACCGGAGCUCAUCAGAUCCCACGAAAGGAGUCGGUCGCUAGUGACAGCAGGACGGUGGCCAUGGAAGUAGGAAUCCGCUA